rnacentral:rRNA from 1 species
UACGUAGGGUGCAAGCGUUGUCCGGAUUUAUUGGGCGUAAAGAGUUCUGUAGGCUGUUUUGUAAGUCAGAGGUUAAAUCUCCCAGCUUAACUGGGAACCUGCUUUUGAUACUGCAAGACUAGAACCAGUUAGGGAACAGCGGAACUUAUGGUGGAGCAGUGAAAUGCGUUGAUAUCAUAAGGAACACCAAGGGGGAAGCCAGCUGUUUGGGACUGUGUUGACGCUGAGAGACGAAAGCGUGGGGAGCAAA